UCGGAUGUGGUGUAUGGUGCACAUCAGCUUUCUAUCAGCAGCUAAUAUAGAGUCUAAGCUGAAGGUCAGGGUUCGACUCCCUGGGUCCGAA